UACGGAGGGAGCUAGCGUUAUUCGGAAUUACUGGGCGUAAAGCGCACGUAGGCGGCUUUGUAAGUUAGAGGUGAAAGCCCGGAGCUCAACUUCGGAAUUGCCUUUAAGACUGCAUCGCUUGAAUCAUGGAGAGGUCAGUGGAAUUCCGAGUGUAGAGGUGAAAUUCGUAGAUAUUCGGAAGAACACCAGUGGCGAAGGGCGACUGACUGGACAUGUAUUGACGCUGAGGUGGCGAAAGCGUGGGGAGCAAACAGG
rnacentral:rRNA from 1 species